CCUACGGGAGGCAGCAGUGGGGAAUAUUGCACAAUGGGGGAAACCCUGAUGCAGCGACGCCGCGUGAGUGAAGAAGUAUUUCGGUAUGUAAAGCUCUAUCAGCAGGGAAGAAGAAAGACGGUACCUGACUAAGAAGCCCCGGCUAACUACGUGCCAGCAGCCGAGGUACUACGUAGGGGGCAAGCGUUAUCCGGAUUUACUGGGUGUAAAGGGAGCGUAGACGGCUGUGCAAGUCUGAAGGGAAAGCCCAGGGCUCAACCCUGGGACUGCUUUGGAAACUGUGGAGCUAGAGUGCUGGGGAGGUAAGUGGAAUUCCUAGUGUAGCGGUGAAAUGCGUAGAUAUUAGGAGGAACACCAGUGGCGAAGGCGGCUUACUGGACAGUAACUGACGUUGAGGCUCGAAAGCGUGGGGAGCAAACAGGAUUAGAUACCCGUGUAGUC
rnacentral:rRNA from 1 species